GCUACAGGCGCCCGCCACGGGACUCCAUCUUUUUAAAAGACUAUGAAUUGUAUUCUCCAGAGACAUGAACGGAAGAAAAGAGAGAAAGUGAGAGAGAGAGAGAGAAGAAAGUUGCCUCUGCCUCAUUCAUUUGGUUCUGUCUUCAGUGGGUCCCAGCAGUGGAAUGAAUAUCAGCAGCACAGGACUCCUGUGGCGCAUCCUACAGUGCUGCAAAUGUACAGAGGGUGAACAGGAUUCUUGCUUUCAAGAUACUCUACUAUGUUAUUGAAAAGGUAUCACUACUGGGGAAACCUCAACUCAAAAAUCUACCCAAGUUCUAGUUUGAACUGUUUACUAAGACUACAUAACAACACUAUUAAAAGAGUCUCCUGAGGAGCCCUGGCCUGCCCUGAAACUCAGGCUCACUCAGUGAUGCAAGUAGCAGCUAAAAUUUGGAUGGAAAUCUGCAAUCUUAAUGGCUCAAAGACUCAGGACAGAAUUUGAGGCUGCCACAGCCACUGGAACCACAGAGAAGUCAUCAUUCAAGAUCCGAAAUGAAGAAAAAAAAAGGAAGAAAAAGGAAAGAAAACAGAGCCAACUAUUUAUUCGCCAAGCUCCGUGAAGCAGGAGAGUUAAAUGGAGAAAGUGAGAAGAAUCACCAUUCCUACAUUUUUCAAUUUUUCUGUAUGGUGACACUGCUGCCUGCAAUUCCCCAGGGAUGAGAUAUUGCUUUUCAAUUUCUAUUUUCGUACAAAUAUACAGCACUUCAGCAGCUGGAUUGCUUGCAGUGG
rnacentral:lncRNA from 1 species